rnacentral:rRNA from 1 species
CCCUACUGCUAUCGGGGUGGGACUAAGACAUGCGAGUCGAGCGUCUCCAGCUAUGGUGAGACGCGGCAGACGGCUCAGUAACACGUGGCUAACCUACCCUCAGGACAGGGACAAACCCGGGAAACUGGGGCUAAUAUCCGAUAGGCGAGGGCGCCUGGAAUGGUUCUUCACCCAAAGGGCUUUGGAAGCAUGCUUUUCAAAGUCGCCUGGGGAUGGGGCCGCGUCCGAUCAGGUUGUUGGUGAGGUAACGGCUCACCAAGCCUAUAACCGGUACGGGCCGUGAGAGCGGUAGCCCGGAGAUGGGCACUGAGACAAGGGCCCAGGCCCUACGGGGCGCAGCAGUCGCGAAAACUCCGCAAUGCACGAAAGUGUGACGGGGCUACCCCGAGUGCCGUCCGCUGAGGAUGGCUUUUCCUCGGUGUAACUAGCCGGGGGAAUAAGGAGAGGGCAAGACUGGUGUCAGCCGCCGCGGUAAUACCAGCUCUCCGAGUGGUAGGGAUGAUUAUUGGGCUUAAAGCGUCCGUAGCCGGCUUAGCAAGUCUCCUGUUAAAUUCAGCGACCUAAUCGUUGAGCCGCGGGAGAUACUACUAGGCUAGGAGGCGGGAGAGGCCGACGGUACUUCCGGGGUAGGGGUGAAAUCCUAUAAACCCGGGCGGACCACCAGUGGCGAAGGCUGUCGGCUAGAACGCGCUCGACGGUGAGGGACGAAAGCUGGGGGAGCGAACCGGAUUAGAUACCCGGGUAGUCCCAGCCGUAAACGAUGCGGGCUAGGUGUUGGGGUGGCUACGUGCCACUUCAGUGCCGCAGGGAAGCCAUUAAGCCCGCCGCCUGGGGAGUACGGCCGCAAGGCUGAAACUUAAAGGAAUCGGCGGGGGAGCACCACAAGGCGUGAAGCUUGCGGUUCAAUUGGAUUCAACGCCGG